GGCCAUUUCCUGUAACUUGGAUGAACCAGAUUUCUCCAUAACCUUGAACACUGACCUCUCUAUAUCACAGAAAUCAAAUUCAGGCUAAAGCAUCUUAACAAAGCCAUUUUUUGGAGCAUCCAUCCCUAAUAACUCAUUUCCACCCACACCGAAGUCCAUCCUUAAGACAUCCAGUUUCUCCCCUGUCCAUCCAUCUAUCAUCUGGUUCUUUCACUGCAAACGCAGUCCACUUUCCCAACAUCUCAAAAACCAGCCAAAAUGAUGUCCCCGCGGUCAUCUUUACUUUUCCCAGCUCAUGUACAAAGUCCUUCCACAAACUUCAAGGCGCGGGAGAUCUGGUGGAGAAGCGCGUAUGUGUGCAAGCGUGUGUCUGCGAGCCUCCCACCACCCCGGUGCAUUAGUGAAUCUACAUUAAUCUUGGCUGACACGGGCCAGGAAGGGCCUCUGAGAGAGCCUGGACUGAGCGCACUCACACCGCCUGCUCAAAUAUUUAUCCAGGAUGUUUUUUUCACCAGGGAAAAAGAGGCAUGUCGCAGGUUAACUAGAUCAAGAUGAAAAAAGUCAUUCAGCGGGAUGCAGAGGCUCACGGGACACACAGGGAAGAGCAGAUGUGGACAGCCUCGGUGGAGUGUGACAGUCAAGGCGUGAAGAUGGAGUUCAAAACAACAACAUACCUUCAGAGUCAAGAAACAAGAGAGGACGCCUUUGUGUCCCACAGCCCUCAUAAAGCCCAUCUGAGCUGCCCCUGGGAGCUCACAAAGACUUGUUUACCUUUGGAGAGCAAGUGCAAAGAUUUUGAAGAUUUUAGAUAUACCUAGGAUAAUGGGAAAUAAAAAUUCUAUUAAAAGAAGCUGACUGUAGUGUUUUACUGUAAAACAAGAAUGCUUCCUUUGGUGACAGCUUACUAGAAUUGUUUAAUUCAAGUAAAAAAAACGAAACAAAAAAACAAGUGUAUAAAUGAUCUAACUACAUUACACCAUCGCAACUAUAUCAGGAAUACCUGCUCCUUAAAGUCACAACUUUUUAAGUGUAGAAAACCGUAUUACGGUGUCAAAUGUUGGUUCUGUUGUGAUAAAUGUGAACUAUUUCUACUUUCAUUGUAAGGUCACAUGCAAAAGCUUGUUUUCUUUUUUUGUUUCUGUGCUAACAGCAGCAUGUUCACGAUAGAGCCUUGAGGUCCUGCUGGAAGCACAGCUGAGCCGAAUGGAAGGGUGGCGGAUCAGUGUGGGAAAUUGGGAAUGUGCGGUAUGCCAGAUUAGAGGAAAUCUGCUGGUCGUUCUGAUGAGCACUGUUAGAGCUCUGCUCGGAAAGAAACAAGGAACUCUGCAUGAGCAACUUUCAACAUGCUUGAAAGUUUGUUUUGAGACGGACUUGACUUCAACAUGGCAGGCUGCACAUGUAAAGCCGCUCCACACAAACAACACAAAGUCACCAGGAAGUGCCAACAAUACAGACAAGGCUGAAGGGGUUAAAUGCCUCAUUCAUUCUUGCUCAAGGGAAAAAGGGAGAGAAGAA